rnacentral:rRNA from 1 species
GUGGAUUAGAUACCCUGGUAGUCCACGCUGUAAACGAUGAAUACUAGGUGUUGGGUCGCAAGAUUCAGUGCCGCAGCAAACGCAUUAAGUAUUCCACCUGGGGAGUACGAUCGCAAGGUUGAAACUCAAAGGAAUUGACGGGGGCCCGCACAAGCAGUGGAGCAUGUGGUUUAAUUCGAUGCAACGCGAAGAACCUUACCUAGGCUUGAAAGGCAGAUGACAGGGUAUGAAAGUACCCCUCCCGCAAGGGCAUCUGUACAGGUGCUGCACGGUUGUCGCCAACU